rnacentral:rRNA from 1 species
GUGGGGAAUAUUGCACAAUGGGCGAAAGCCUGAUGCAGCAACGCCGCGUGAGCGAUGAAGGCCUUCGGGUCGUAAAGCUCUGUCCUAUGGGAAGAUAAUGACGGUACCAUAGGAGGAAGCCCCGGCUAACUACGUGCCAGCAGCCGCGGUAAUACGUAGGGGGCAAGCGUUAUCCGGAAUUACUGGGCGUAAAGGGUGCGUAGGCGGUUUAUCAAGUCAGGGGUGAAAGGCUACGGCUCAACCGUAGUGAGCCUCUGAAACUGGUGAACUUGAGUGUAGGAGAGGAAAGUGGAAUUCCCAGUGUAGCGGUGAAAUGCGUAGAUAUUGGGAGGAACACCAGUGGCGAAGGCGACUUUCUGGACUACAACUGACGCUGAGGCACGAAAGCGUGGGGAGCAAACAGG